AGAGCAGCUGGGGUAACAGCGACGUAAAGCAGUGCGUUGUGCUCGCUGCCUUCCAGGCACCUGCUCCGGGUGUUUUACAGAUAUUAAUCAUUUACUCACGACCGCCUGGGCGUCCGGGCCGUUGCUAGCCCCACCACACAACGAAGAGCGCCAGGUCUCGGAGGUGAGGGGACUUGCCCGAGGUCACAGAAGCCACAGAAGGAGAGGGAGAAGAGAAGACUGGAUGUGACACCGCUCACACCUCGGGGCUACGCGCUUCUUGGGGCAGGCAGCUCAUGGUGCAGAACCCGACCCGUUACCUGAGGACUGAACUUAAAAGAGGAGCGUGUGUUUUCCAGGGCUGUGCUGAGCUCUGGCACAAACAGCACAAACAACCAAGAGCCCAGGUCACUGGACUCCAGGAACCCCCCCCCCCCCAUGCCCAAAGAGAGCCGGGGCGCUGUGUUCUGUCUUCACACUGAGCGCGGGCUCGUGUUUUUAAUUCCUGGUGUUCUUCUCCGGACUCGUUUACUGCAGCCGCCCACCCAUCAGUGCUGCUUUUAACCACUGCCCCCGACCUCCUGGCCAUCUGCGUCUCUGGUACUUUCUGCCAUCUGGCCGCGGUAGCACGCGCUGCGUAUCUUGUUUCCUGCCGCCCUGAAUUUGGCAGUCGGGCUGCACAGCUCGGAGUCCAGUCGGAUUCAUGUGGGGACGCUGCCCCCCGCAGGCCGCAGUCGUGCACGGCUCUCCGGGAGAAACUGCUGGAGCCCAGGCCAUUCCCCGCGGGCAUGCCGCUAACAGCCCCACAGACCCCUCCAGGCAUCUCUCCUCUCACCCGCACAACCUCCUGAGGCUGAGAACUACCACUGUCUAAAUUUUCAGACACGCCUGUGUCUCAGAGUUGUGGAGUCACAGGCUCAGGAGCAGCAGGCUCGGGCCUUGAGCCCAGGCUGUCCCCAUCUCACUGCCUCCCCAGGGAUGGAACUAGCCGUGUCUGAGCAGCUGUACCCUGCCGGAUGCCCGCCGUCCACGCUGUCAUUUAAUCUGUCUGCCAACUGAGAGCAAGGAAAGAGAAGCACACGGACCUGGCUGUGGCCACGCAGCCCUCGCUGGUACCCAGCACUGGCUUCUUACGGUGCUCACACGGGUGUGCGGCUUGGGCUCCCUGCAGGGACUCGGCUGCAGGGUGCAGGUGACUGACCUCAAAUCACAGCAGUGUUUGCACCUAGGCUGCCCGCUCCCGGGGGCCGACACAGUCAGGCUGAGCCCAGGAGGAGGUGACAGAGGGCCAGGAGAGGCUGUCUCAGGGCGGGAUCACAGCCUCCUUCUGCCUGGACCACAGCCCUGCACCGGCCACCUUGGCCAAGUCGCAUCACCCAGCCGGACUCUGGCGCCCUGGCGGGACGCCCCUCCCACACCCACCUCGAAAAGGAAUUGCCACUGUAGGGGGAUCCGGCCCCCAUGCAUGGACCAGUGCUGCUGCUUAGAAGUGGACAGGGGUCCUGUGUCUGCUCAAAGCCUGAGUCCGGCGGGGUGCACCGCUUGGUAGAGCGUGUGUGAGCUGUACCAAGCCGAGUAAGACACACGGUCCCCACUCUGGGAGCGGAGACAGUGGAGCCCCACCCCCCACCACGUGGACCUCACUCGAACAGAGGAAGCUCUGCAGCGAGGCAGACCCAGGUGCAGCUCCUGACAAAGGCUUCCACUUCUCAGCCCUGGCGUCGUCGGCACGGCAGGCACUCUGGUAUCUGGUGGCAUGGCCCUGACAGUGAAGGCCGACACAAAUUAGAGUCUGCUCAUAGCUGGCAGGAAGUGCACGGCAGCUGGGCACAAACUCUCCUGGAAUAAAAGAGACUGAGUUCAGGGAAGGAGGCCUUAAGGCACACGCACCAGGUGGAGGUCGGUACUGCUGGGGCUGCGCGGCCACACCGGGGCAUGGGAUGCAAGGGCCCUGUCGCUGCAGACAGGAGUCAGGAGAGAGGCACAGAGGAGGCCGAGGAGCCCCGUGCUCUAGGCACAGGCAGCUGUGGAGGGCCUUACGGACACCCUGGGGACAGACACCCACGGAGGACAUGGCUGAGCAGUGCGGCGGGGCAUGGGGAGGGAGGGACAGGGCGGCACUGUGACUGCCCAGGCCUGGGAGCACUUGCCCGGAGACAGGGCUACUGUGAGAAGGGGGCAGGGGGACCAUGACCCAGGCGGGGGACAGAGAGAGGUCGGCGACAGCUUUACAAUCAAGCAGUUCAUUCCAUUUGCACCCUGCUUGUCAGCCAAAUUUCAUGUUCUCCCACCCGGCCACCUCCCUGCCAUGAGGCGACAGCACCCCCGUGUCCCGGGUUCCUAAGGGGGACAGAGUAGGAAGCGUGGCCCAGGUCAAAUGCCCAGUAAGGCGCACGUCAGGGUCCUCGCACAGGGCAGGUGUGAGGCCCAAGUUAACCUAGCUACGCCUAGCACCGCCAGGCCAGCAGGAAACGCUAAGUGGAACCAGGGGAUUCUCUGAAAGCCGGCCAGUGUGGGGCUACAUUUAGUUCUAGAAAAGUGACAAGAGGUCAAACAGAGACAGCCUGUUUGGGUACAAACCACAGGAGCUCGUGUCCUCAACACUGCAGAACCUCUGCUUAGCGGCUGCCCAUGUUCCCAGGUGGGCAGUGUCCAGGGCAGGGGUCAGGGUGGGACAGGGUGAAGUCCACUACCCUCUGAGGGCAGGGAGGAUGAGAUGUUAUCCCUUCCGCAAGCUCAGCUGCAGGUCCAGGGGGAUCUACUCCCUGGGGAAAGGCGGGCACAGCCCAGGGCUUUCCCUCUAGAGGGGCAGAGACCGGCAGUGACCAUCAGAGAAACGCAGUGAGCUGGGAGCAAGGAAGGUCGCCUCUCUGCAGUCUGUCUGCACAGGACAGGGAUGUACAGAGCUGCUAGAACCUGUGAGAGACAAGACCAACAGAAAGUGGUCAGGGCACUGAGGACACCUCCCACAGAAGGGGCUGACGUGGGCCUCCUGGGGCCGUGGUCAGCUCUCACUAGGGUGGGCAGGCAAGCCCCUCCUGCUCCUUGUCUCUUCCGCAUGUUGGCUGUUUCCCUGCCUGCUUCCCUGCUGUGCUGCGACCCGUCAAGGGGUCUUCAUGGGGCCGAGCAGAAGCUGGUACCCUGCUCUUCAGUCUCCCAAACUAUGAGCCGAAUAAUUUGGUAUUUGGUUAUAGCAACAAAACACAGAAACAAAGAAUGCAUGUACCUGGGCCCAUGGCACUAUAGACGACACUGGAACCCACCCAGCUGGGAGAUGCUGAGCGCACUCUUGGGUGAGCACGGGACGCGUAGCCAGGUCACCAAGGGAGGAGAUGAGGCCCAGCGAGCCAGGUGAGUCCUUGGCUUUGUAGCAAGGGAAGGAGUCCCCAAGUCCUCGGCUUCUGGCUAUGGAUGGACUCCUCCCAUGUCUGCCUUUCCAUGUAUCCAGAGGUAAGGGUUGGCCUAACGAUGGUGCCCAGAUAUCUGACCAAACACUAGUCAGCAUCUCCAUGAAGGUGUUUAGUAGAUGUGAUUAAUGUCUGUGGCCAGUCGACUUUAAGUGAAGGAGCAAUAACCUCAUCCAAUCCAUCAAAGAGCUUAAAAGCAAAGGUAAGUGUUCCCUUAGAGGACAUCUGUCUCAAGACUCAAACUCAGAAGUCCCGCCUGAGUGUCCAGUCCAGGGAAGACCACACUUUGCCCCUGAAGGUUUGAUAAGCAAAUUCACAGGAACACACUGAGGACAGGCAGAGUGCCAGGAGCGAAGGGUGUGCUGAGCUCACUCACAUGCACCCGGGAACCCGAGCCACAAAGUGUGAAACCCAAAGGAGGGCCAGGUGGUUCAGGUCAAAGAACGUCUCCUCCACAGCGGACAGAGAAGUGGGGACCAGGGACACUUUUAGAGAGCCCAGAGAACGGAGCUCUGGGACAAGGACCCGCUGGGCUCCAGGUGCUGUUGGGUGAUGUGGUGGUCAGCAGUCCUUCCUGUCCUGUUCAAAGGAUUGGACAGGACAGCUGAUGAAUGUCAAAGUUUAUCUAAAGAUAGAUAUCUAAAGAUAGAAUAAAGAAAUAUAAAAGAAGAAAAAGAAAUGCUCAAAAAGAAAAAGGAUUCCACAGAAAAGAGAAUAUUCACACUGCACACAGAAGAGACUGCGGCAAGAACAAGAAAUUGAUGGUGACCAAGCCAGAGGCCAUGUCAGGGCCAGCUCCCACCACACAGAGCUUCAGAGCAGCCGUGACCUGACAGCCGUCUGUGCCUGACAGGCCACGCCGCAUUGUGCAGUCAGCUGCCCGUGCCCUAAUCUCCUGCCUCAUAGCGUGGAUUUCAUUCUCUCCUGUGAAAUGGGUUUCUUGUCCCUUGGUGAAUGCACUGUCAUAAGGAGCUUUGAAGGCAAUCAUGUUCUCUCUGGGAAAUCCAGUCUUUAGUUAGAUAAGAAAACUUCACCCAGGGCCUUGCUAUGCUUCAGGAGAAAAAGCAGACAGAAGAGGACGGAGAGACAGGAGGAAAGGCCACAGAGACCUGAGUAGUGCAGCAGUUACUUCAGCCUAGUGUGUCAAAUCACUGCACUCUGGGGUGCCGUCUCCUGUACCCCAACACCCGCAUGCUAGGCUGCCCCACAGAUUGUGGCUUUGCCUUUCCCCACAUAAAUAAACUCCUUAAAAUCAGUCUCUAGCUCGGGCACCCGUCUUCCCUGUUGGCUGUGCUUAUCCGGAGGGCCCAGAGUGACAGGUGGGGUUAGCAGCAGUGUGCCAGGCUUUGGUGAGAGGAGGAGGAGGUCCCGACGCUGUAGUCACACACGCAUUCCUGUGGGUAGGUGGGGCUGGGGUGGCCCAUUUUAAAGAUGAGGAAAUUCACGUGCACGAGAUUUUCCCCAGACCUCUCGUGAAUGACAGAUCAGAAACCUAAAGCCCAAAGCUCUCCUUCAAAGCACCUCGCUCUGUUUCACCCUCUCCUAGAACACUCUCUGGUGCCAUCUAUCACACACAGCACCCGGGCAGUCUGCUCUCCGCCUGUAUGACUGGGGCGCCAGCUGCUAAGGGGACACAGGCUGCACUUCCGCUCCCCGUUCCUCCUCCAGCCCCCGAUUUUGGAAAUACCGAGCCGCCUUCCCUGCUCUCUUCCGGCAUCUCACCACUGCAACCUCGGAGGCUUGCUCGAAACGCCUGGCCUUUGGUCCUGCCUUUGCUACCUAUCUUUGACCAAGGCCACCAGGUCCACACCCGCAGGCCUCAUCCAUGAGCUGAGCCCAGAAAACCGGUUUGAGAACAGCUGAGCUCCUGGGGAUAAAGGAAAUGAGUGGGGCAAGUGCCCUGUGUGCUUCUGUGACCGCCAUCUUGAAUACCUUGGGUAUCUCUAAGUGUCCCUGGACUUUUCUUUUCAUCUUUACCAUCAAGCAACUGAAAUCACUGAUCUACCACACUGGGCGGGCGUCCUUUGAGCCUAAGUCUGGGGCUGCACCUCACUUCUCAGAGGCCAGCUGGGAAGUGGCAGGGGUGUUUUUUGGUCACAAAAUUAAGAUAGGUAGCAGCAGUGGCUGGGAACAGGGUGAAUUUGCUAAAUAACACAGAACUGCAUGCUUCCACCUGGUGUAAGUCAUCUUGGUGCAGCUCCAUGGCAGAGGGUGUGCCUGGCACGCAUGGAGUACUGGGUUCAGUCCCCAAAACACAUGUACACACACAAGCACACACACAUGCACACGCACACACACACGCACACAUGCAGUAAAACAAAACCAAAAAAAUCCACUUCACACUGCUUAAGUUGG